rnacentral:rRNA from 1 species
UACGUAGGUGGCAAGCGUUGUCCGGAUUUAUUGGGCGUAAAGAGCGUGUAGGCGGCCAGGUAGGUCUGCUGUGAAAACUCGAGGCUUAACCUCGAGAUGUCGGCGGAAACCAUCUGGCUAGAGUCCGGAAGAGGAGAGUGGAAUUCCUGGUGUAGCGGUGAAAUGCGCAGAUAUCAGGAAGAACACCCGUGGCGAAGGCGGCUCUCUGGGACGGUACUGACGCUGAGACGCGAAAGCGUGGGGAGCGAACAGG